GAGGAGUGUGUGAGGAGUGUGUGAGGAGUGUGAAGAGUGUGUGAGGAGUGUGAGGAGAGUGUGAGGAGAGUGUGAGGAGUGUGUGAGGAGUGUGAAGUGUAUGAGGACUGUAGCUGAUGUUUUAGCGAGGCUCAGUCACUGGGAUUUAGUUUCGGUCAUGUGCUGGGAUUGAAUUGUUACCGGCGCUGCACGUGAAUAUGAGAUUAUAUAGAAUUACAUGUCGGGUGUGUUUCAGGUGUAAUAAAGCCGUGUCUUUAUGUCCUGUCUGAAUGAUCAUUUUCAUAUUCACAUGAAUAUUAAGGACCAUUUUAUGUUUUAUAGCACGUCUACGCCAUUUUCUCCCCCUAGUUGUUGUAUUGGGAUGGAGUGUAAUUUGUAGGAUUAUUAUUGUAUAUUACUUAUACCCAAGGGCAUGUUGAAUACCACAGACUUCUGCCAGUUGGGUGCAGAUAUAAUUGAGCAAUUCAUCUUUCCAGAGAUAAUGUUCU
ensembl:lncRNA